rnacentral:rRNA from 1 species
UACGUAGGUGGCAAGCGUUGUCCGGAAUUAUUGGGCGUAAAGCGCGCGCGGGCGGUCCCUUAAGUCUGAUGUGAAAGCCCACGGCUCAACCGUGGAGGGUCAUUGGAAACUGGGGGACUUGAGUACAGAAGAGGAAAGCGGAAUUCCACGUGUAGCGGUGAAAUGCGUAGAGAUGUGGAGGAACACCAGUGGCGAAGGCGGCUUUCUGGUCUGUAACUGACGCUGAGGCGCGAAAGCGUGGGGAGCAAACAGG